CCUUAUCUGGGGUGAGAAAUCAUCUGGUGCAGUUCCUUUUGGGACAAUGUUUGCUCUGGUCCUUCUCUGGUUUGGCAUCUCCGUGCCACUGGUCUUUGUUGGAAGUUUCUUGGGAUUCAAGCAGCCAGCCAUUGAGGACCCAGUCAAGACAAACAAGAUUCCCAGGCAAAUUCCCGAGCAAGCAUGGUACCUGCAGCCAGCUUUCUCGAUACUUGCUGGUGGCAUUUUGCCAUUUGGUGCUGUCUUCAUUGAGCUCUUCUUCAUCCUCACAUCUAUCUGGCUGAACCAGUUCUACUACAUCUUUGGCUUCCUCUUCAUAGUCUUCGUCAUUCUCCUGGUAACCUGUGCUGAGAUCACAAUUGUGCUCUGCUACUUCCAGCUAUGCAGCGAGGACUACCACUGGUGGUGGAGAGCCUACCUGACCGCAGGCUCUUCAGCUCUAUAUCUUUUCGCUUAUGCUAUCUUCUACUUCUUCAACAAGUUGGAGAUCACAAAGCUUGUUUCAGGCAUUCUCUACUUUGGUUACAUGCUGAUCAUUUCUUAUGCCUUCUUUGUCCUGACUGGCACCAUUGGCUUCUAUGCUUGCUUCUGGUUUGUGAGGAAGAUCUAUGCUUCUGUGAAGAUCGACUGAUGUAGCAACUUCCAAGAUAAGUUUCCUGUCUGCUUCUAGAGACUCUCCCGGACAAGGUUUUCUUGCAAUAUCAUACAUGCUGCUGUUCAAGUGACAUAUAUGAAGGAAACUGGGAUUUGAGAUGGGAUUCCAUGGUUUUGGUAGAAUAUGUAGCCUGGUAGGAUUAAGAAUCACCGGAUAUUCACGGAUGUUGAAGAGAGAAUUUGAUACUCGUUGCAGAUUAGCAUGUCUUGUAAUUCUAAAGAUAUUGAGUGCUCCUGUACUGUUUCGGAUCUCAAUUGACCAUGUCUGUUCCAUUUGUGUUUUAUGUCUUACACGCAGUAUGCUGGACAUGGCACUAUUUCUUAGUGCAUAACUUUCUCGU
rnacentral:lncRNA from 1 species